AUUGAACGCUGGCGGCAUGCUUUACACAUGCAAGUCGAACGGUAACAGGCCGCAAGGUGCUGACGAGUGGCGAACGGGUGAGUAAUGCAUCGGAACGUGCCCAGUCGUGGGGGAUAACUACUCGAAAGAGUAGCUAAUACCGCAUACGAUCUAUGGAUGAAAGCGGGGGACCGUAAGGCCUCGCGCGAUUGGAGCGGCCGAUGUCAGAUUAGGUAGUUGGUGGGGUAAAGGUUCACCAAGCCAACGAUCUGUAGCUGGUCUGAGAGGACGACCAGCCACACUGGGACUGAGACACGGCCCAGACUCCUACGGGAGGCAGCAGUGGGGAAUUUUGGACAAUGGGCGCAAGCCUGAUCCAGCAAUGCCGCGUGCAGGAAGAAGGCCUUCGGGUUGUAAACUGCUUUUGUACGGAACGAAACGGCUCUGGUUAAUACCCGGGGCUAAUGACGGUACCGUAAGAAUAAGCACCGGCUAACUACGUG
rnacentral:rRNA from 1 species